GCAUAACGCGAAGAACCUUACCAAGGCUUGACAUGCAUCUCUAAGCGCGUGAAAGCGCGUGACCCUUCGGGGGAUUUGCACAGGUGCUGCAUGGCCGUCGUCAGCUCGUGUCGUGAGAUGUUGGGUUAAGUCCCGCAACGAGCGCAACCCUUGUGACUAGUUGCCAGCACGUUAUGGUGGGAACUCUAGUCAGACUGCCCAGAUCAACUGGGAGGAAGGUGGGGACGACGUCAGGUCAGUAUGGCCCUUACGCCUUGGGCUGCACACGUACUACAAUGCCCAGCACAAUGAGAACCGAGACCGCGAGGUGGAGGAAAUCUAAAAAACUGGGCCCAGUUCGGAUUGGAGGCUGCAACUCGCCUCCAUGAAGUUGGAAUCGCUAGUAAUGGCGCAUCAUCUACGGCGCCGUGAAUACGUUCCCGGGUCUUGUACACACCG
rnacentral:rRNA from 1 species